rnacentral:misc_RNA from 1 species
AUCGAUCUCACUACCCCAAAAUCUAGUGAUUCAACCACUAGUUUUAAAUUUGAUUCUAAAUCUCAACUUGUCUCUCAAUUAAGUAACGACUUCGUCAAAUUCGAAUCCAAUCUUCAAAUCCCUCAGAAUUUUGGAAUUGAAUCCACUAACGAUUUCUUUGAUUUUGAAUCAAAGCCUCAAACUCAUCCUCUAGAUUCAAGCUUUCGAACAAGUCGAAAGUCGUCCUUGAAGAUUUCACUCCCUAACAAAAACGAGAGGAUUCCAUUCGCUAGACCGACUCAGAAACCAGUGAAUAGCAACUUAGGAGUUGCUGUUGUUGAAGAGAAAAAGCAUUACAGAGGAGUCCGACAGAGGCCGUGGGGCAAAUAUGCAGCAGAGAUCCGAGACCCGAACCAGAAAGGCACCCGUUUGUGGCUCGGAACUUUCGACACAGCUAUCGAAGCCGCCAAAGCCUAUGAUCGAGCCGCAUUCAAGCUGCGCGGCUCCAAAGCCAUACUCAACUUCCCUCUGGAAGCUGGGAAGUUGAAUACACGCGCAGAUGAGGGAAAUGAUAUUGAUACACGAACAAAUGAGGGAAAAGAACGGAAACGAACUAGAGAAAUUAGGACUGUAGAGAGAGAAGCUAAGAAAAUGACGAAAAGAGAAGAACCCGAGAGGGAUGUUGCAUUGACGCCGUCAAGCUGGACGGCGAAUUGGUAUAGUGGCGAUUUGAAUUGGAAAGGGGUUUUAAAUGCGGUACCGUUAUCUCCGCAUCCGCAGUUAGGAUGUCCACAGCUUAUGGUCAUAUGAGAACAGAGCUUCCAGCAAAUUAGAAUGAGUUUCCGGACAAGCGUAUAUAGUGACGUCCUGUUGAAUUGCUCUUUUACGUUACAGCUAGAAUUGCUCAUACGCAACAAAACUCCUCUGCAUGUUUGGCAUUCCCCUCCACGGGAGGUGCCAUCUUUCUUGUUUAUCAACUCUACUUUUGGAAUUGGAAUUCUCUUUAGUAGAAGAUAGUGAUAGUUCUUGUGGCUUGUAGGUUUUUGACAUUUGAAAAAGAAAAUAGAAUUAAUUGCUGAA